UAGAGUUUGAUCAUGGCUCAGGACGAACGCUGGCGGCGUGCUUAACACAUGCAAGUCGAACGGAAAGGCCCUUCGGGGUACUCGAGUGGCGAACGGGUGAGUAACACGUGGGUGAUCUGCCCUGCACUUUGGGAUAAGCCUGGGAAACUGGGUCUAAUACCGAAUAUGACCACGCGCUUCAUGGUGUGUGGUGGAAAGCUUUUGCGGUGUGGGAUGGGCCCGCGGCCUAUCAGCUUGUUGGUGGGGUAAUGGCCUACCAAGGCGACGACGGGUAGCCGGCCUGAGAGGGUGACCGGCCACACUGGGACUGAGAUACGGCCCAGACUCCUACGGGAGGCAGCAGUGGGGAAUAUUGCACAAUGGGCGCAAGCCUGAUGCAGCGACGCCGCGUGAGGGAUGACGGCCUUCGGGUUGUAAACCUCUUUCAAUAGGGACGAAGCGCAAGUGACGGUACCUAUAGAAGAAGGACCGGCCAACUACGUGCCAGCAGCCGCGGUAAUACGUAGGGUCCGAGCGUUGUCCGGAAUUACUGGGCGUAAAGAGCUCGUAGGUGGUUUGUCGCGUUGUUCGUGAAAACUCACAGCUUAACUGUGGGCGUGCGGGCGAUACGGGCAGACUAGAGUACUGCAGGGGAGACUGGAAUUCCUGGUGUAGCGGUGGAAUGCGCAGAUAUCAGGAGGAACACCGGUGGCGAAGGCGGGUCUCUGGGCAGUAACUGACGCUGAGGAGCGAAAGCGUGGGGAGCGAACAGGAUUAGAUACCCUGGUAGUCCACGCCGUAAACGGUGGGUACUAGGUGUGGGUUUCCUUCCUUGGGAUCCGUGCCGUAGCUAACGCAUUAAGUACCCCGCCUGGGGAGUACGGC
rnacentral:rRNA from 1 species